UAGAUGAAUGCUUAUUGGUUUAAGCGCUUAGCUGUUAACUAAGAGAUUAAAGGAUCGAAGCCUUUUCAUCUAG
rnacentral:tRNA from 1 species